UGGGGAAUCUUGCGCAAUGGGCGAAAGCCUGACGCAGCCAUGCCGCGUGAAUGAUGAAGGUCUUAGGAUUGUAAAAUUCUUUCAGCGGGGACGAUAAUGACGGUACCCGCAGAAGAAGCCCCGGCUAACUUCGUGCCAGCAGCCGCGGUAAUACGAAGGGGGCUAGCGUUGCUCGGAUUUACUGGGCGUAAAGGGCGCGUAGGCGGAUUGACAAGUUGGGGGUGAAAGCCCGGGGCUCAACCUCGGAAUUGCCUUCAAAACUGUCAGUCUUGAGUUCGGGAGAGGUGAGUGGAACUCCGAGUGUAGAGGUGAAAUUCGUAGAUAUUCGGAAGAACACCAGUGGCGAAGGCGACUCACUGGCCCGAUACUGACGCUGAGGCGCGAAAAGCGUGGGGAGCAAAACAGGAUUAGAUACCCUGGUAGUCCACGCUGUAAAACGAUGAGUGCUAGUUGUCGGCAGGCAUGCCUGUCGGUGACGCAGCUAACGCAUUAAGCACUCCGCCUGGGGGAGUACGGUCGCAAAGAUUAAAAACUCAAAAUGAAUUGACGGGGGUCAUAGCUGUUUCCU
rnacentral:rRNA from 1 species